rnacentral:rRNA from 1 species
GUGGGGAAUUUUGGACAAUGGGCGCAAGCCUGAUCCAGCAAUGCCGCGUGUGUGAAGAAGGCCUUCGGGUUGUAAAUCUCUGUGGGGAGGGAAGAAAAAGCGAGAGAGUAACUGCUCUCGUGUUGACGGUACCUCCUUAGCAAGCACCGGCUAACUCUGUGCCAGCAGCCGCGGUAAUACAGAGGGUGCAAACGUUGCUCGGAAUUACUGGGCGUAAAGCGCGUGUAGGCUGACAUGCAAGUCGGGUGUGAAAUCCCAGGGCUCAACCUUGGAACUGCACUCGAAACUGCACGUCUUGAGUACUGGAGAGGGAAGCGGAAUUCCGGGUGUAGAGGUGAAAUUCGUAGAUAUCCGGAGGAACACCAGUGGCGAAGGCGGCUUCCUGGACAGUAACUGACGCUGAGACGCGAAAGCGUGGGGAGCAAACAGGAUUAGAAACCCUGGUAGUCC